GAUGAACGCUAGCGGCAGGCCUAAUACAUGCAAGUCGAACGGUGUCUUCGGACAUAGUGGCGCACGGGUGCGUAACACGUAUGCAACCUACCUUACAUUGGGGGAUAGCCUUUCGAAAGGGAGAUUAAUACCGCAUAAGACAGUAGCUGGGCAUCCAGCAGCUGUUAAAGAUUUAUCGAUGUAAGCUGGGCAUGCGUCCAAUUAGCUAGUUGGUGAGGUAACGGCUCACCAAGGCAAUGAUUGGUAGGGGAACUGAGAGGUCAAUCCCCCACACUGGCACGGAGAUACGGGCCAGACUCCUGCGGGAGGCAGCAGUAGGGAAUAUUGGGCAAUGGACGCAAGUCUGACCCAGCCAUGCCGCGUGCAGGAUGAAGGCGUUAUGCGUUGUAAACUGCUUUUAUACAGGAAGAAACGACUCUUGCGAGAGGCAUUGACGGUACUGUAUGAAUAAGCACCAGCUAACUCCGUGCCAGCCGCCGCCGUAACAC
rnacentral:rRNA from 1 species